rnacentral:rRNA from 1 species
GAUGAACGCUAGCGGCAGGCCUAACACAUGCAAGUCGAGGGAGGAGCUUUCGGGCUUCGACCGGCGUACGGGUGCGUAACGCGUAUACAAUCUGCCUUUCACAUAGGGAUAGCCCGAAGGAAUUUGGAUUAAUACCUAAUGGUAUAUAGAGGUGGCAUCACCUUUAUAUUAAAGCUGAGGCGGUGAAAGAUGGGUAUGCGUUCUAUUAGCUAGUUGGAGAGGUAACGGCUCCCCAAGGCGACGAUAGAUAGGGGUUCUGAGAGGGAUAUCCCCCACACUGGUACUGAGAUACGGACCAGACUCCUACGGGAGGCAGCAGUGAGGAAUAUUGGACAAUGGUCGGAAGACUGAUCCAGCCAUGCCGCGUGCAGGAAGACGGCCUUAUGGGUUGUAAACUGCUUUUGCAGGGGAAGAAUAAGGACUACGCGUAGUUUGAUGACGGUACUCUGCGAAUAAGCAUCGGCUAACUCCGUG